rnacentral:rRNA from 1 species
UACGAAGGGGCUAGCGUUGUUCGGAAUUACUGGGCGUAAAGCGCACGUAGGCGGGUUGUUAAGUCAGGGGGUGAAAUCCUGGAGCUCAACUCCAGAACUGCCUUUGAUACUGGCAACCUAGAGACUGGAAGAGGUUAGUGGAAUUCCCAGUGUAGAGGUGAAAUUCGUAGAUAUUGGGAAGAACACCAGUGGCGAAGGCGAGUCUCUGGACACUUCCUGACGCUGAGGCACGAAAGCCAGGGGAGCAACGGG